rnacentral:rRNA from 1 species
GAUGAACGCUGGCGGCGUGCCUAAUACAUGCAAGUCGAGCGAACGGACGAGAAGCUUGCUUCUCUGAUGUUAGCGGCGGACGGGUGAGUAACACGUGGAUAACCUACCUAUAAGACUGGGAUAACUUCGGGAAACCGUAGCUAAUACCGGAUAAUAUUUUGAACCGCAUGGUUCAAAAGUGAAAGACGGUCUUGCUGUCACUUAUAGAUGGAUCCGCGCUGCAUUAGCUAGUUGGUAAGGUAACGGCUUACCAAGGCAACGAUGCAUAGCCGACCUGAGAGGGUGAUCGGCCACACUGGAACUGAGACACGGUCCAGACUCCUACGGGAGGCAGCAGUAGGGAAUCUUCCGCAAUGGGCGAAAGCCUGACGGAGCAACGCCGCGUGAGUGAUGAAGGUCUUCGGAUCGUAAAACUCUGUUAUUAGGGAAGAACAUAUGUGUAAGUAACUGUGCACAUCUUGACGGGACCUAAUCAGAAAGCCACGGCUAACUACGU